GAUGAACGCUGGCGGCGUGCCUAAUACAUGCAAGUCGAGCGAACCACUUCGGUGGUGAGCGGCGAACGGGUGAGUAACACGUAGGUGAUCUGCCCAUCAGACGGGGACAACGAUUGGAAACGAUCGCUAAUACCGGAUAGGACGAAAGUUUAAAGGUGCUUCUGGCACCGCUGAUGGAUGAGCCUGCGGCGCAUUAGCUAGUUGGUAGGGUAAAGGCCUACCAAGGCGACGAUGCGUAGCCGACCUGAGAGGGUGAACGGCCACACUGGGACUGAGACACGGCCCAGACUCCUACGGGAGGCAGCAGUAGGGAAUCUUCGGCAAUGGGCGAAAGCCUGACCGAGCAACGCCGCGUGAAUGAUGAAGGCCUUCGGGUUGUAAAAUUCUGUUAUAUGUGAGCAAUGCCAGAUAGGUGAAUAGUCUGUUUGGAGCGAUAUUAGCAUAUGAAUAAGCAACGGCUAACUCCGUGCCAGCAGCCGCAGUAAAAC
rnacentral:rRNA from 1 species